CACAGAUCGCAGAAGGAGGAUCGAGAAAUUGAGGAAUCGAGAAUUGGAGGAAUCAGAGGAGAAGAAGAGAAACCUAGACGCAAAAAAGGAAAAAGAGCGGACAAAUUGAAGAAGACUACACGUAGGAAGACUUAUAUAUGGUGUCAAUCGGGCCUCAAGUCCGCGGGCCUGGUCCGUUUAGGGAUGUGGCGGGGCGGGUACGGGCCCAUGUAAGGAAGCCCAAAAUAAUGCGGGCGUUGCGGUCCUGGUCCGUUUGGUUUGCGGAGGAUAAAAGGCUGACUCAUUUUUCGCCGACGAGGAGCUUUAGUCAAGUACUGAAUCUGAUGGACCAGUUCAUGGAGAUCCUCUGUUAUCAGCUACUCGUGGCAUUGGAGCUUCAGGAGCUCGUCGUGGUUGGGAUAUAAAAGUUGUAUGGGAAUGUGUUGAGAUUGAACUCUCCG